CAUGGCAACACAUGGGGAGGCGUUCAAGAUGACGCCGGAAGUAGGAGCGUUUUCCGUCGCGGAGCUUCGGGGGAAAGCACAAUUCUCGAUAAACUGUGUAUUUUUAACAACAAUUUGCACAGAAAAAGACUGGCAUAUGUUCUCCCUAACGAAUUAAUUGGCUAUCGAUGCUCUGGUAACGUUUUGUCACCGGCCUGAGGUGACUAAAGUGAGCAGAACAGCGAUGAAAAGUCAAGGAUACAACUUAAAGGAGGAUCUCACCGCCAGAGACGAACAGUAAAGGAGUCGUCUGUAGCCGGCGGUGGAAAAGAGAAAAGACAUGACGUGUUGGGGGAGGAAUAGCAGACUGGAUGAAGACAAGGACAUCAAGAAUACGCUGAAGGGGCAGCUGGAGAACCACAGGGAGGCUCAUCUUUUCACAAAAUCUUUCAACAUACUAUACCAUGACUUUUUUUCAUGAAAUCUUUCGACAUGCUAUACUAUGACUUUUUUUUUAAUGACAUUUAUUCGACAUACUAUACUAUGACUUUU